GUGCUUGCCUCUGUAGCACAUAUACUAAAAGGAAUAAUGCAAAGAAGAUUAGCAUGGCCCCUGUGCAAAAAUGACACAGUUUGGCGAGAUGGCCCAUGUUUUU